UUAAGCGAAUAAGCGUACACGGUGGAUGCCUAGGCAAUCAGAGGCGAUGAAGGACGUGCUAAUCUGCGAUAAGCGUCGGUAAGGUGAUAUGAACCGUUAUACCCGACGAUUUCCGAAUGGGGAAACCCAAUAUCCAAUGGAUAUUAUCAUUAACUGAAUACAUAGGUUAAUGAAGCGAACCGGGAGAACUGAAACAUCUCAGUACCCCGAGGAAAAGAAAUCAACCGAGAUUCCCCUAGUAGCGGCGAGCGAACGGGGAACAGCCCAGAGUCUUAAUCAACAGCAGCAUCAGGAGAACGGUCUGGAAAGUCCGGCAGUAAAGGGUGAUAGCCCCGUAUCCGAAGAUGCUGUUAUUGUGAACUCGACGAGUAGGGCGGGACACGUGUUAUCCUGUCUGAAUAUGGGGGGACCAUCCUCCAAGGCUAAAUACUCCUGAUUGACCGAUAGUGAACCAGUACCGUGAGGGAAAGGCGAAAAGAACCCCGGCGAGGGGAGUGAAAAAGAACCUGAAACCGUGUACGUACAAGCAGUAGGAGCCCCACCACUAAGCUAGUGGUGAACUCACAGCGAUUCUUUUGCAUGAUAAAGAGCGGUAGACGACGCGAAGUGACGUCCAACCAAUCCAAUCAGGCAGAGGAGGCUUAGUGGUGGGGUGACUGCGUACCUUUUGUAUAAUGGGUCAGCGACUUAUAUUCUGUAGCAAGGUUAACCGAAUAGGGGAGCCGUAGGGAAACCGAGUCUUAACUGGGCGAAUGAGUUGCAGGGUAUAGACCCGAAACCCGGUGAUCUAUCCAUGGGCAGGUUGAAGGUUGGGUAACACUAACUGGAGGACCGAACCGACUAAUGUUGAAAAAUUAGCGGAUGACUUGUGGAUGGGGGUGAAAGGCCAAUCAAACCGGGAGAUAGCUGGUUCUCCCCGAAAGCUAUUUAGGUAGCGCCUCGUGAACUCAUCUUCGGGGGUAGAGCACUGUUUCGACUAGGGGGUCAUCCCGACUUACCAACUCGAUGCAAACUGCGAAUACCGAAGAAUGUUAUCACGGGAGACACACGGCGGGUGCUAACGUCCGUCGUGAAGAGGGAAACAACCCAGACCGCCAGCUAAGGUCCCAAAGUCAUGGUUAAGUGGGAAACGAAGUGGGAAGGCUCAGACAGCCAGGAUGUUGGCUUAGAAGCAGCCAUCAUUUAAAGAAAGCGUAAUAGCUCACUGGUCGAGUCGGCCCGCGCGGAAGAUGUAACGGGGCUAAACCAUGCACCGAAGCUGCGGCAGCAACACUAAGUGUUGUUGGGUAGGGGAGCGUUCUGUAAGCCUGCGAAGGUGUACUGUGAGGUAUGCUGGAGGUAUCAGAAGUGCGAAUGCUGACAUAAGUAACGAUAAUGCGGGUGAAAAACCCGCACGCCGGAAGACCAAGGGUUCCUGUCCAACGUUAAUCGGGGCAGGGUGAGUCGACCCCUAAGGCGAGGCUGAAAAGCGUAGUCGAUGGGAAACGGGUUAAUAUUCCCGUACUGGUGGUAACUGCGAUGGGGGAACGGAGAAGGCUAGGUUGUCCGGGCGACGGUCGUCCCGGUUCAAGCAUGUAGGCAGAGUGAUUAGGCAAAUCCGGUCACUUAAUGCUGAGGUGUGAUGACGAACCACUAAGGUGGUGAAGCAAUUGAUGCCCUGCUUCCAGGAAAAGCCUCUAAGCUUCAGGUUACCAACAAUCGUACCCCAAACCGACACAGGUGGUCAGGUAGAGAAUACUCAGGCGCUUGAGAGAACUCGGGUGAAGGAACUAGGCAAAAUGGUGCCGUAACUUCGGGAGAAGGCACGCUGGCGGUAAGUGAAGUCCCUUGCGGACGGAGCCGAAGCCAGUCGAAGAUACCAGCUGGCUGCAACUGUUUAUUAAAAACACAGCACUGUGCAAACACGAAAGUGGACGUAUACGGUGUGACGCCUGCCCGGUGCUGGAAGGUUAAUUGAUGGGUUAUCCUUAGGGAGAAGCUCUUGAUCGAAGCCCCAGUAAACGGCGGCCGUAACUAUAACGGUCCUAAGGUAGCGAAAUUCCUUGUCGGGUAAGUUCCGACCUGCACGAAUGGCGUAAUGAUGGCCAGGCUGUCUCCACCCGAGACUCAGUGAAAUUGAACUCGCUGUGAAGAUGCAGUGUACCCGCGGCAAGACGGAAAGACCCCGUGAACCUUUACUAUAGCUUGACACUGAACAUUGAGCCUUGAUGUGUAGGAUAGGUGGGAGACUAUGAAAUGUGGACGCCAGUCUGCAUGGAGUCAACCUUGAAAUACCACCCUUUAACGUUUGAUGUUCUAACCUAGGCCCGUAAUCCGGGUCGGGGACCGUGUCUGGUGGGUAGUUUGACUGGGGCGGUCUCCUCCUAAAGAGUAACGGAGGAGCACGAAGGUUGGCUAAGCAUGGUCGGACAUCAUGCGGUUAGUGCAAAGGCAUAAGCCAGCUUGACUGUGAGAGUGACGGCUCGAGCAGGUACGAAAGUAGGUCUUAGUGAUCCGGUGGUUCUGAAUGGAAGGGCCAUCGCUCAACGGAUAAAAGGUACUCCGGGGAUAACAGGCUGAUACCGCCCAAGAGUUCAUAUCGACGGCGGUGUUUGGCACCUCGAUGUCGGCUCAUCACAUCCUGGGGCUGAAGUAGGUCCCAAGGGUAUGGCUGUUCGCCAUUUAAAGUGGUACGCGAGCUGGGUUUAGAACGUCGUGAGACAGUUCGGUCCCUAUCUGCCGUGGGCGUUGGAAGAUUGAGAGGGGUUGCUCCUAGUACGAGAGGACCGGAGUGAACGCACCACUGGUGUUCGGGUUGUCAUGCCAAUGGCAUUGCCCGGUAGCUAAGUGCGGAAGAGAUAACCGCUGAAAGCAUCUAAGCGGGAAACUUGCCUCGAGAUGAGUCUUCCCUGUCACCUUGAGUGACCUAAAGGAACGUUUAAGACUAAGACGUUGAUAGGCUGGGUGUGUAAGCGUAGCGAUACGUUGAGCUAACCAGUACUAAUGAACCGUGAGGCUUAACCUG
rnacentral:rRNA from 1 species